UUUCCCGUUAUACCCACUACUAAACCGUUCCCUUGUUCCAAGCUCCUUUUCCAGCUAAGAGAGAGAAACAAUAACAUACUAGAGAGAGAAACAAGAGCGACUGCGAGCGAAGGAGCGAGCGAGAGAGAGAACUCCACCUCCUCGCUCCUUCUCCUCCUCCGAUCCAUCGUGAUUCUUUUCAUCUGGUGAUAUUGCAUUCUAUUGAAAUGGCGGAUCCGUAUGUCCUAGGCUGGAUCCUUGUCUCUGUUCUCAGCGUCUUCGCGCUCUACAGCUUAGUUUUCGCCGGAGGAAACCGCCGCCGUCGUGCUUCGCAGGAGAACGAUGCUCAGCGUACGGGGAACGUGAAAACUUCCGUCAGAGAAUGUGGAUCCAAGAACCUCGAUGGCAACGAUGCUGACGUUAUCGUCGUCGGAGCUGGCGUUGCUGGCGCGGCUCUUGCUUACACACUCGGCAAGGAUGGACGGCGAGUACUUGUAGUUGAAAGAGAUUUGAGUGAGCCUGACAGAAUUGUUGGAGAGUUGCUACAACCUGGCGGCUAUCUCAAAUUGAUUGAGCUGGGACUUGAAGAUUGUGUGGAAGAAAUUGAUGCUCAGAGAGUGUUUGGUUAUGCACUUUUCAAGGACGGAAAAAAUACAUGCCUCUCUUAUCCCUUGGAAAAGUUUCAGUCAGAUAUCGCUGGUAGAAGCUUUCACAAUGGCCGUUUUAUUCAGAGGAUGCGGGAAAAGGCUGCCACACUGCCCAAUGUCCGGUUGCUGCAAGGGUCAGUCACUUCCUUGAUUGAAGAAAAGGGGACAAUUAAAGGUGUUCAGUACAAGACCAAAGAUGGUCAGGAGCUGAAAGUACAUGCACCUCUUACCGUUGUUUGUGAUGGCGGCUUCUCAAACUUGCGCCGUUGUCUUUGUAAUCCUAAGGUUGAUAUUCCCUCUCACUUCGUUGGCUUAAUUCUGGAGAAUUGCCAACUUCCAUAUGAAAAUCAUGGUCACGUCAUACUCGGAGACCCUUCCCCAAUUCUGUUCUAUCGCAUAAGUAGUACAGAGGUUCGUUGUUUGGUUGAUGUACCUGGGCAGAAAGUUCCUUCUAUCGCAAAUGGUGAAAUGGAGAAGUAUUUGAAGACAAUGGUGGCUCCACAGAUCCCCGCUGAGCUCCAUGAUGCCUUUUUAGCUGCAGUUGAGAAAGGCAACAUAAGGUCAAUAUCGAAUAGAAGCAUGCCAGCAGACCCCCUUCCUACCCCUGGAGCCAUUUUGAUGGGAGAUGCCUUCAACAUGAGGCAUCCUCUAACAGGGGGUGGAAUGACCGUGGCAUUGUCAGACAUUGUGGUGCUGAGAAAUCUUCUCAGGCCCCUGAGUGACCUGAAUGACGCACCCACACUCUGCAAAUACCUUGAAUCCUUUUACACCUUGAGAAAGCCUGUGGCAUCAACCAUAAAUACAUUAGCAGGUGCCUUGUACAAGGUCUUCUCUGCAUCUCCAGAUCAAGCAAGGAAGGAAAUGCGCCAAGCUUGCUUUGAUUAUCUGAGCCUUGGAGGCCUAUGUUCCCAGGGACCAAUCUCAUUACUCUCAGGACUAAACCCUCGUCCUUUGAGCUUGGUGGCUCAUUUCUUUGCUGUUGCAGUGUAUGGUGUUGGCCGCUUAAUAUUUCCCUUUCCCUCGCCCAAGAAGAUAUGGAUUGGAGCUCGGUUAAUCUCUAGUGCAUCUGGAAUCAUCUUUCCUAUAAUUAAGGCAGAAGGAGUUCGCCAAAUGUUCUUCCCUGCAACUGUUCCAGCUUAUUACAGAGCUCCUCCUGCUGCAAGAUAGUGAGUAUCGGUAAAAAAAAUUUUGGGGAAAAAAGAAUCAAGAUGCUUUCAAGAUUUAAGAGCUAGGUUUUCUCAGUUCAGGUUGAAAUCGAUGUCCCUGGGAGCUGAGAAGAAAGGACCUGCACCUGAUCCAAGUUGCAUUUCUUGCUAGAUGAAAUGGUUCUAGGAUUACUAAGGAAGAAAUAGAGAAUAUUUUUCAGAGGUGUAUUUUGCUGAACUAUUUCUUUCUUUUUUGACGAAAAAAAAAAAUAUAUCUGUUCAAAAAUUUUAUUAUUACUGAGAUAAUGAU